GGUUAAGUUAGAAAGGGCGCACGGUGGAUGCCUUGGCACUAGGAGCCGAUGAAGGACGGAACGAACACCGAUAUGCUUCGGGGAGCUGUAAGCAAGCUUUGAUCCGGAGAUUUCCGAAUGGGGAAACCCUCUGUUCGUAAUGGAACAGAAUCUUAUCUUGAAUUCAUAGAGAUAAGAAGGCAGACCCGGGGAACUGAAACAUCUAAGUACCCGGAGGAAGAGAAAGCAAACGCGAUUCCCUAAGUAGCGGCGAGCGAAACGGGAUUAGCCCAAACCAAGAGGCUUGCCUCUUGGGGUUGUAGGACACUUGAUACGGAGUUACAAAGGAACGGGGUAGAUGAAGAGGUCUGGAAAGGCCCGUCAAAGAAGGUAACAACCCUGUAGUUGAAAGUCCGUUCCCUCCCAAGUGGAUCCUGAGUACGGCGGGACACGAGGAAUCCCGUCGGAAUCCGGGAGGACCAUCUCCCAAGGCUAAAUACUCCCUAGUGACCGAUAGUGAACCAGUACCGUGAGGGAAAGGUGAAAAGCACCCCGGAAGGGGAGUGAAAGAGAUCCUGAAACCGUGUGCCUACAAGUAGUCAGAGCCCGUUAACGGGUGAUGGCGUGCCUUUUGUAGAAUGAACCGGCGAGUUACGAUCCCGUGCAAGGUUAAGUUGAAGAGACGGAGCCGCAGCGAAAGCGAGUCUGAAUAGGGCGCAUGAGUACGUGGUCGUAGACCCGAAACCAGGUGAUCUACCCAUGUCCAGGGUGAAGUUCAGGUAACACUGAAUGGAGGCCCGAACCCACGCACGUUGAAAAGUGCGGGGAUGAGGUGUGGGUAGGGGUGAAAUGCCAAUCGAACCUGGAGAUAGCUGGUUCUCUCCGAAAUAGCUUUAGGGCUAGCCUCAAGGUAAGAGUAUUGGAGGUAGAGCACUGAUUGGACGAGGGGCCCCUACCGGGUUACCGAAUUCAGUCAAACUCCGAAUGCCAAAUACUUAUCCUUGGGAGUCAGACUGCGAGUGAUAAGAUCCGUAGUCGAAAGGGAAACAGCCCAGACCGCCAGCUAAGGUCCCAAAGUAUACGUUAAGUGGAAAAGGAUGUGGAGUUGCUCAGACAACCAGGAUGUUGGCUUAGAAGCAGCCACCAUUUAAAGAGUGCGUAAUAGCUCACUGGUCGAGUGACUCUGCGCCGAAAAUGUACCGGGGCUAAACGUAUCACCGAAGCUGCGGACUGUUCUUCGAACAGUGGUAGGAGAGCGUUCUAAGGGCUGUGAAGCCAGACCGGAAGGACUGGUGGAGCGCUUAGAAGUGAGAAUGCCGGUAUGAGUAGCGAAAGAGGGGUGAGAAUCCCCUCCACCGAAUGCCUAAGGUUUCCUGAGGAAGGCUCGUCCGCUCAGGGUUAGUCGGGACCUAAGCCGAGGCCGAAAGGCGUAGGCGAUGGACAACAGGUUGAUAUUCCUGUACCACCUCCUUUCCGUUUGAGCAAUGGGGGGACGCAGGAGGAUAGGGUAAGCGCGGUGUUGGAUAUCCGCGUCCAAGCAGUUAGGCUAAGGAGAUAGGUAAAUCCGUUUCCUUAU
rnacentral:rRNA from 1 species